ensembl:lncRNA
GACAAACUGAAACUGUUAGCAGUGAAGGAAAAAUUGUAAUUUAUGCCACUGUAACUUUUUUCCAGUAAUAACUUAAGGCUGGAGAAGGGUUUUCUGCCAUCAGAUCCCUCACCACGACGGACUCGAGGUUUCUGCCUUCAGAUCCUUCUCUACGGACUGUAUGCUGACAGGCUUCCCUGGGCCUGCUACCUGAGACCUGCUGCUUCCUCCCAGACUUACUCUGCGGCUUCUUCCUGGACCCUCCCAGUACCUGCACCCUCUCGUUGCCCAAGACCGGCCUCGCUGCUCCUGCCCUUCAGCCUCGGACCAUCGGAACGUCGUGCAACAGGACUACUGCCGGAUCCUGGUGGUGACUAUCCCUGCUUUACGCAAUUCUUGCUUCUUUCUAUCUUUUCUAUCGCUCGCCUUCCCUUCCCCAUCACCCCAAUCCGUAAUAGUGUCUGUCCUCUCCUUUCCUCAUCUCCCUUAUUAACAUUUGUAAUAAACUGGUCGAACCAACAUUUGAACCGUUGUUUCUUAAUCUCACGCCGGGCAUACAUAUUUCAGAGAACCUCCUCUCCCUCCUAUAAAUUGGAGCCAGACAUGUAGAUAAUAAAGAAUACUCCCCCGUAACAAUUUCCUCUCGUUUUCUACUAUUCUGAUAUCAAAGGUCAUUAACCUCACAUUUUCUGUUGGCUAUUAUGCUUCUAGAAAUGCUCACUGAUCAUUCAGGUUCAGAGUUGAAGGUACAAAGUCUGGUAAAACUUCACAUCUGAUGAAGGGGGAGGAAGAAUAUCCUCUUAUGUUCAUAGUUCCAUCUAUCCUGAUCUGCACUUCCAUGACAUCUUUUAAGAUGUACUGCUUUCCAAAUCUAGACUAUUUAUUAUUUACUUCUUAGCCUUUGGUAUUCCUUUAUGCAAAACGUAUUUAUAAUUGGUAAAAACAAUGUUAUUAAGUAAAUGGAACAAUAACAUUAAGUACAGAGAAG